AGAGUUUGAUCCUGGCUCAGAACGAACGCUGGCGGCGUGUUUAAGACAUGCAAGUCGAACGGAGUGAAGUUGUAGUAAUACCGCUUCAUUCAGUGGCGCACGGGUGCGUAACACGUGAGUUACAUGCCCUGCAGUGGGGAAUAGCCCGCCGAAAGGCGGAUUAAUACUCCAUGGUCCCGCAAGGGUAAAGGUGGCCGCAAGGCUGCCGCUGCAGGAUUGGCUCGCGGCCUAUCAGCUUGUUGGUGAGGUAACGGCUCACCAAGGCGACGACGGGUACCUGGUCUGAGAGGAUGAUCAGGCACACUGGAACUGAGACACGGUCCAGACACCUACGGGUGGCAGCAGUCGAGAAUGAUUCACAAUGGGGGAAACCCUGAUGGUGCAACGCCGCGUGGAGGAUGAAGGUCUUCGGAUUGUAAACUCCUGUCAUCGGGGAGUAAGACCUGGAGGUGAAUAGCCUACAGGGUUGAUAGUACCCGAAGAGGAAGGGACGGCUAACUUCGUGCCAGCAGCCGCGGUAAUACGAAGGUCCCAAGCGUUGUUCGGAAUCACUGGGCGUAAAGGGAGCGUAGGCGGCGUGGUAAGUCAGAUGUGAAAUCCCGGGGCUCAACCCCGGAACUGCAUCCGAUACUGCCGUGCUUGAGGGUUGGAGAGGUAGCUGGAAUUCUCGGUGUAGCAGUGAAAUGCGUGGAUAUCGAGAGGAACACUCGUGGCGAAGGCGAGCUACUGGACAACAUCUGACGCUGAGGCUCGAAGGCUAGGGGAGCAAAAGGGAUUAGAUACCCCUGUAGUCCUAGCAG
rnacentral:rRNA from 1 species